rnacentral:rRNA from 1 species
UACGUAGGGUGCAAGCGUUAAUCGGAAUUACUGGGCGUAAAGCGUGCGCAGGCGGCUUUGCAAGACAGAUGUGAAAUCCCCGGGCUCAACCUGGGAACUGCAUUUGUGACUGCAAGGCUGGAGUACGGCAGAGGGGGAUGGAAUUCCGCGUGUAGCAGUGAAAUGCGUAGAUAUGCGGAGGAACACCGAUGGCGAAGGCAAUCCCCUGGACCUGUACUGACGCUCAUGCACGAAAGCGUGGGGAGCAAACAGG